AAUCCAUGCAUCGGGCAUUUCCACGACAAAUCUUUAAAUCUCUCUCAUGCCUCAUACAAAUUUUCAUAUUCUAAUUUCUUAAAAGAUGCCAAAUAAUUUCUCAGAUU